rnacentral:pre_miRNA from 1 species
AGUGAAAUUGCUGGGCCACUUGGUAAAUUCAGCUUUCACUUUAUAGGAAACUGGCAAGCUGUUUUCCACAGUGACUGUACCAUUUUGCAUUCCCACCAGCAGU